rnacentral:rRNA from 1 species
UACGAAGGGGGCUAGCGUUGCUCGGAAUCACUGGGCGUAAAGCGCACGUAGGCGGAUUGCUAAGUCAGGGGUGAAAUCCUGGAGCUCAACUCCAGAACUGCCUUUGAUACUGGCGAUCUUGAGUCCGGGAGAGGUGAGUGGAACUGCGAGUGUAGAGGUGAAAUUCGUAGAUAUUCGCAAGAACACCAGUGGCGAAGGCGGCUCACUGGCCCGAUACUGACGCUGAGGUGCGAAAGCGUGGGGAGCAAACAGG